AUUGACCGCUGGCUGCAGGCUUAACACAUGCAAGUAGAGCGAGCGGCGGACGGGUGAGUAAUUUAUGGGUAACUGCGUGAUGGAGGGGGAUAACUACUGGAAAAGUUAGCUAAUAGCGCAUACAAUCAGAUGUGCCCCGAUGUGAUUAGGUAGUAGGUGGGGUAAUGGCGCAACUAGGCGAAGAUCCCUAGCUGGGCUGAGAGGAUGACCGGCCACACUGGAACUGAGCGACGGUCCAGACUCCUACGUGAGGCAGCAGCAGGGAAUAUUGCACAAUGGGCGGAAGCCUGAUGCAGCCAUGCCGAGGGAGUGAAGAAGGCCUUCGGUUGGUAAAGCACUGUCAGCAAGGAGGCGGUACUCGCAGAUGAAGCACCGGCUAACUCCGUGCCAGCAGCCGCGGUAAUUC
rnacentral:rRNA from 1 species